rnacentral:rRNA from 1 species
UGGGGAAUAUUGGACAAUUGGCGCAAGCCUGAUCCAGCCAUGCCGCGUGAGUGAAGAAGGCCCUAGGGUUGUAAAGCUCUUUCGCUGGUGAAGAUAAUGACGGUAACCGGAGAAGAAGCCCCGGCUAACUUCGUGCCAGCAGCCGCGGUAAUACGAAGGGGGCUAGCGUUGUUCGGAAUUACUGGGCGUAAAGCGCGCGUAGGCGGAUAGUUAAGUCAGGGGUGAAAUCCCGAGGCUCAACCUCGGAACUGCCUUUGAUACUGGCUGUCUAGAGUUCGAGAGAGGUAAGUGGAAUUCCGAGUGUAGAGGUGAAAUUCGUAGAUAUUCGGAGGAACACCAGAGGCGAAGGCGGCUUACUGGCUCGAUACUGACGCUGAGGCGCGAAAGCGUGGGGAGCAAACAGGAUUAGAUACCCCGGUAGUCC